GGACGCAUAGCUCAGCUGGAUAGAGUACUCGGCUACGAACCGAGCGGUCGGAGGUUCGAAUCCUCCUGCGUCCGCCA
rnacentral:tRNA from 11 species